GACGAACGCUGGCGGCGUGCUUAACACAUGCAAGUCGAGCGACUGCAUUCUUUUCGGAGGGUGUAUGGAGCGGCGAACGGGUGAGUAACACGUGAGUAAUCUGCCUUUGGCUUGGGAAUAACUUCGGGAAAUCGGGGCUAAUGCCUGAUGUUUACUGUCUGCUGCAUGGUGGGUGGUGGAAAGAUUUUUUGGCCGAGGAGUGAGCUCGCGGUCUAUCAGCUUGU
rnacentral:rRNA from 1 species